GCAAGAGACUUUUUCUUCCCUCUUUGUUUCCUGCUGCGCGAGGAGAGGGGAUUAAGAGCGCUGCUUAAAGGAGCUCCAGAGAUGGGCGCGAGUCGUGGCUAAAAGCGCGGACUCCAGAGACGGGCAUGAGACGCUAAGGCUGCUGCUGCCGCCACCAAGAAGCCUGUGUGCGAGCACAGGUCACUAUCCACACCCCGCCUCCGGGGAGUCUGUGCAGCCCGCCACAGCCAGGUUCCCGGGAUCCAGGGACAACUUCCCCGGGAGAACGCAUGGUGAGCCUCAGUCUGGUGCAAAGUCACGCCGGCCUCUGGCGCCGCAGGCUCGCCCCGCACUCCGUGCCCCUCCCUCCCCCCGGCCUGAGUGAGCCAGAGCCCCCGAAUCAGCGGCUUCUUUAACCCCGUCUUGUCUGAGUGAAAAACAGACGCCCUCCAGCGACCUACACGCAGAGGCGGGGCCAAAUCCAAAGCUGAGCCCCUGGGAGCUGUGAAAACAAAGAAGAGAACGGGAAAUCUCUCCCAGCAGCCUGAGAAGCAGUGGAUUAAAGCUCCACAAUCAACUUGAUGUACCCUGCAUCUGCGGAAUACAUGAAUAGACAACGAAUCAUCCCAAAUUGAGGAGGACUUCAAGAGCAAGAUUUAUCAUUUUUUCCCCUUUACCUCUUUUUCUGAGCGUCUGGUACCUGAGGAGUUGUAUACCUCCCUGAAGAUAUGUGCUCCAGACCCAUAAAUAUGCAGUUCACAGAGCCCACCACCAGAGGACAAAAAUGAAAGACAGAAACACACAGAGACAAUUCCAUGUGACAACAGUGAAAGAGACCAGAGUGAUGCAGCUGCAAAUCAAAAAACUGCCAACACCAGUGAUUGAUGGCCACCACCAGAAUCUGGUUAAGACAAAGAAGGAUCCUCCCCUUGAGGCGUCAGAAAGAACAUGGCCCUCUCAACACUUUGAGUUUGAACUUCUGGCCUCUAGAGCUGUGAUAAAAUAAAUUUCUGUUCUUUUAAGCUAACAAGUUUGUGGUAUCUUGUCAUGGUAGCCCUAGAAAUGACAGUAUUUGAUUCCUGAGCUGGCAACUGUAUUUUGACUAUGUAAUGACUAUUCCAAGAUAAUCAACAGACACAAAGAUAAAGGCAAAACUGAGACUAAGCCCAGUUCUUUUUAUUCCCAGAAUAAUAAAUGAUUUUUUAAUUAAUUUAGAUCUCUUUGUCUAACCCCUCUGCUUUUCAGAAGAGUAUGUGGGACCAAUCAAGUAUUAAUAUGUUAUACUUUCACUUUAAUUCAUCUCAAAUUAUUUCUAAUUCCCCUUAUGAGUUCUUACUUGACCCAUGAAUUAUUUAGGAAUAUAUUCUUUAAUUUCCAUUUGUGAUUUUCAACAAAUUUCUUUCUGUUAACGAUUUCUUAUUGCAUUCUGUUUUCAUCUGAGAGCACUCUUUGUAUUGUUUAUGUCCUUUAAAAUGUACUGAAAUUUGUUUUAUGGCCUAGCAUAUAGUAUAUCCAUGUGCAUUUGAAAAGAAUGUAUAUUCUGAUGCUGUUGGGUGGAAUGUUUUAUAGAUGGCUGUUAGGUCUACUUGAUUGAUAAUGCUGUUCAAGGUUUUUAUUUUCUUGUUGAUUUUCUGUCUGUUCUGCUAUUGAAAGAAGGGUAUUAAAGUAUCCAACUAUUAUUGUAGAACUGUCUGU